UUCCCGGGCCUUGUACACACCGCCCGUCACGCCAUGGAAGUCGGUAGUACCCGAAGUCGGUGACCCAACUCCGGUUCGCCGGAGAGGGAGCCGCCGAAGGUAAGACCGAUGACUGGGGCGAAGUCGUAACAAGGUAGCCGUACCGGAAGGUGCGGCUGGAUCACCUCCUUUCUAAGGAA
rnacentral:rRNA from 1 species